GGGGUACACGAGUGGCGAACGGGUGAGUAACACGUGGGUGAUCUGCCCUGCACUUCGGGAUAAGCCCGGGAAACUGGGUCUAAUACCGGAUAGUACUGCGCGGUGCAUGCCGUGUGGUGGAAAGAUUUAUCGGUGCAGGAUGGGCCCGCGGCCUAUCAGCUUGUUGGUGGGGUAAUGGCCUACCAAGGCGACGACGGGUAGCCGGCCUGAGAGGGCGACCGGCCACACUGGGACUGAGACACGGCCCAGACUCCUACGGGAGGCAGCAGUGGGGAAUAUUGCACAAUGGGCGCAAGCCUGAUGCAGCGACGCCGCGUGAGGGAUGACGGCCUUCGGGUUGUAAACCUCUUUCAGCAGGGACGAAGCGCAAGUGACGGUACCUGCAGAAGAAGCACCGGCCAACUACGUGCCAGCAGCCGCGGUAAUACGUAGGGUGCAAGCGUUGUCCGGAAUUACUGGGCGUAAAGAGCUCGUAGGCGGUUUGUCGCGUCGUCUGUGAAAACCAGCAGCUCAACUGUUGGCUUGCAGGCGAUACGGGCAGACUUGAGUAUUUCAGGGGAGACUGGAAUUCCUGGUGUA
rnacentral:rRNA from 1 species